GCCCAGUAAAGACAUCACGAUAUCUCUCCGUCACGGAGGUAAAGGUGGGUAGAAAAUACAAAAAGACCAAUGGAGCAUAAUUUACAACAAAUCCUUUUAUCAAUAAUAAAACCUUUACCAUUCACUUACCUCGGUGAAAUUCAUAAAAAUAAUACACGAAAGCAAUAACAUCAUCAUCAUCAUGAAAUCAUAUAUAAACUGUAUAACAUAAUACUUAUCAAGCCUUUCGUAAUUCAAUCGUUACACAACAUAUUUUCCUCAUUUACCAGCCCACUAGU
rnacentral:lncRNA from 1 species